GCAUAUCAAUAAGCGGAGGAAAAGAAACUAACAAGGAUUCCCCUAGUAACGGCGAGUGAAGCGGGAAGAGCUCAAAUUUGAAAGCUGGUACCUUCGGUGCCCGCGUUGUAAUCUCGAGAAGUGUUUUCCGUGCUGGACCAUGUACAAGUUCCUUGGAACAGGACGUCAUAGAGGGUGAAAAUCCCGUACUUGACAUGGACGCCCAGUGCUUUGUGAUACACUCUCCACGAGUCGAGUUGUUUGGGAAUGCAGCUCAAAAUGGGUGGUAAAUUCCAUCUAAAGCUAAAUAUUGGGGAGAGACCGAUAGCGAACAAGUACCGUGAGGGAAAGAUGAAAAGCACUUUGGAAAGAGAGUUAAACAGUACGUGAAAUUGUCGAAAGGGAAGCGCUUGAAGUUAGACAUGCCUAUUAGGAUUCAGCCUUGCUUUUGCUUGGUGUAUUUCCUGGUAAGCAGGCCAGCAUCAGUUUUGUCUGUCGGAUAAGGGUAGAAGGAAUGUGGCCCCUUGGGGUGUUAUAGCCUUUUACUGGAUACGGCGGAUGGGACUGAGGACCGCAGUGCGCCUUUAUGGCGGGCCUUUUGGCACCUUCGCACUUAGGAUGCUGGCGUAAUGGCUUUAAGCGACCCGUCUUGAAACACGGACC
rnacentral:rRNA from 1 species